AUUGAACGCUGGCGGCAUGCUUUACACAUGCAAGUCGAACGGAAGCGCGGGCUUCGGCCUGGCGGCGAGUGGCGAACGGGGGAGUAAUGCAUCGGAACGUGCCCAGCAGUGGGGGAAAGCCCGGAGAAAGCCGGAUUAAUACCGCAUAAGACCUGAGGGUGAAAGCGGGGGAUAGAAAGGCCUCGCGCUAUUGGAGAGGCCGAUGUCGGAUUAGCUAGUUGGUGGGGUAAAGGCUUACCAAGGCGACGAUCCGUAGCUGGUCUGAGAGGACGAACAGCCACACUGGGACUGAGACACGGCCCAGACUCCUACGGGAGGCAGCAGUGGGGAAUUUUGGACAAUGGGGGCAACCCUGAUCCAGCCAUGCCGCGUGCGGGAAGAAGGCCUUCGGGUUGUAAACCGCUUUUGUUCGGGAAGAAAUCCUCUGAGCUAAUCCCCCGGCGGUAUGACGGUACCUGAAGAAUAAGCACCGGCUAACUACGUG
rnacentral:rRNA from 1 species